rnacentral:tmRNA from 1 species
GGGGCUGAAUUUGUUUCGACGAAUGGAAUUUAACAGAUUGAUCUAUCGAGCAGUUGAUUACUUUACAAUCUACAAUAAAUGCAAAAUCAAGCAUUUUAGCAAAAGUUAAGGCGUUUUUUGCGCCUCAAAUGGCUUUUGCGCCAGUUGUCGCUUAGUUUUGACAACCAUCUAGGACUCAAGGCGGCGUAGAGUCUUACGGUGUUAUAUUACGACGCUCAGUUUGUUUGCGGUUUUACAGCGCAGGCAAAUGAAAACUAGCUGUAAAUUUGAUACGCUGAACUUUGCUAUCGUCCAUGCGGCGCGUCAAAUAUUCUGACAAUAGAUAGGCUUCGUAAACGGUCAAUAGGUUACCAUUCGGACGCGGGGUCAGUACCCGCCAGCUCCACCA